rnacentral:rRNA from 1 species
CCUACGGGGGGCAGCAGUGGGGAAUAUUGCACAAUGGGGGAAACCCUGAUGCAGCGACGCCGCGUGAAGGAAGAAGUAUUUCGGUAUGUAAACUUCUAUCAGCAGGGAAGAAAAUGACGGUACCUGACUAAGAAGCCCCGGCUAACUACGUGCCAGCAGCCGCGGUAAUAAGUAGGGGGCAAGCGUGAUCAGGAUUUACUGGGUGUAAAGGGAGAGUAGACGGAGUUGAAAGUCAGAAGUGAAAGCCGGGGGCUAAACUCCAGGAAGGCGUUGGAAACGGGUGGACGGGAGUGCAGGAGAGGUAAGGGGAAGUACGAGUGGAGAGGGGAAAGGAG